rnacentral:misc_RNA from 1 species
GAUGAAGAACGCAGCGAAAUGCGAUAAGUAGUGUGAAUUGCAGAAUUCAGUGAAUCAUCGAAUCUUUGAACGCACAUUGCGCCCCUUGGUAUUCCAUGGGGCAUGCCUGUUUGAGCGUCAUUUGUACCUUCAAGCUUUGCUUGGUGUUGGGUGUUUGUCCAUUCUCUUGCAGAGGGACUCGCCUUAAAGUAAUUGGCAGCCAGUGUUUUGGUUUUGAAGCGCAGCACAAGUCGCGAUUCAAAGCUAUACGCCCGCUUCCUCAAGCCUUUUUCACUUUUGACCUCGGAUCAGGUAGGGAUACCCGCUGAACUUAAGCAUAUCAAUAAGCGGAGGA